ACAAGGUAUUGGCCGAGAUGAUAUUCUAAUCAGACCAAUCGCAGAAUAAUGCCAAGAAUCAUUAAAGAAACUAUAGUUAUGAUUUUGCCGGCGGUUAUGCUAGCUCAACCAUGAACGCACGACCUUUGCAAUUAUCGCCAUGUGCACCUUGUGGGGAGCCAUUACCAGGCGGUUAGUGCACGAUUAUCCAUUCCAGUAUGGUUAUUGCAUCUUUCGAUAAUUAAGGUAACAGAUACUAACCCAAUUCUAUAUAUAGAGAAAAUAGGAGGC
rnacentral:lncRNA from 1 species